CAGAGUUGCAAGACCCCCUAAACCAUUGUGAACCUACCUUCUACCGUUGCUUCGGCGGGCGGGCCCAGCGCCCCCCCGGCCCCCCGCGGGCGCCCGCCGGAGGAUACCCAAACUCUUGACAUUAGUGGCCUCUCUGAGCAUUCUUUACUGAAUAAGUCA
rnacentral:misc_RNA from 1 species